rnacentral:misc_RNA from 1 species
CAACCACCGCAAACCAUCAUCGCGUGGCGACGCGCUGCCAAUCCUUCAACCUUCACACACACAAAAAAAAAAAAACAUCGCCCACCCUCCACUCUCGGCUCCCUACCUCCGUCAACGCGACGGCAGCUGGUGCAGCCACGCAUACCCACACGCGCACACACGUACCCGAGCCUCUCUUUGCCAGCUCCUCGUUUCUUCUUCGCGCACCGGUACGCUGCAGCAGCACUACCGCGCAGUCUUCCAGCGAUCAUGACGCACGAGUUUCGCUCACUGUUUCUCCCUCUCGCAGCGGAGGAGCAGGCCGUCUUCGCGGACUUCUUCCCGACUCUCAUGGCCUCGAGCACCUCGAUCCAGGACGGCGCGGCAGGCGAGCACUCAUUGCAGCCGACGGUCUCAGCAGCACUCGACACAUCUAGCUCCGCCUGGGCUACCUCCCCCCACUCCUCCGGGGAGUGUGGCAACCUACCCGAGGUUGGGCGCGGAACCGCAACGGACGCGCAGGCUCGGUGCGGCGCACCCUUACGCUCUCUUGUGUUCGCCAUCGGCAGCGGCAGAGCCGACGCGGUCAUCGUUGUCCUGCGCAGGGGCGACGUCGUCCUCUACGGACUCGACCGACUGCACACGCCACCUUACGAAAAGUGCCGCAUCCGGCCCCUCCCCACAACGCAACAGCUCAUGGCGGCGCGCGAGAACGCCCGCAGGUACAGUAAUGCUGACGGGGCGGCUAGUGACGGGAGCCGGGCGGAUGCCAGCGGUAGCGGGGUUCUCGCCGGGUCUUGCAGGGUCGGUAACGGCGGGGCAGAGGCGACCUGUGCAGCGCUGCUGCCGUUGCACAUCGCCUACUGCUGCCGUAUUCCCCUCUCCGCCUCCUUCAGCUCCGCCACGCCACCGGCCGGCGGACCGCGCCGCGGCGGCGGCGGUGGCUCACGAGACGAAAAGGACGAAGACGUCGUGUACCUCCGCGGCAUCGUGGGCAGCAGCGACGGUCGUGUCAGCCUCUUCUCUGACACGUCCUACACGCUAAGCUUCGCGGCGCACGACAUCCCAGUCGCGCAGGUGGACGCGGUUCUACUGCCGCCUUGCACACUGGAUGGGUGCGUAUCAACGAAUGCCAGCCCCACAACGUCAACGCGUGGCGUCCGCAGCAUGGGAGCGGGCGUCAACACAUACGCGGCACCUUCUGGUGAGCUGGCGUCCCCUACGUCACCGCAGCGGCAAGAGCGCUUGGCGCGCGCCACGCAGCGCCUUGGCCUUGUCACCAGCGGCAACGACGGCGUGGUGCUCCUCUGGCGGCGCCUGGGAGACUCGAUGAGCCCCAUCGUGGUGGUCCGUCCCUCCACCUUCUCCAGUCGCGCCGCCUACGCUGUGCACCACCCCUCCGCCCUCUCGGCGCUGUUGUCGUCGCGGGCGCCGCUAUCCCAGCGCGAGGCCGCCGUCGAUGCCGAGCUGUCGUGCCCGCCGUCGUGUCUGCUUCACGCAGCGACCUCCACCAGCCAUACUCUGCGUGUUCGCCAGCUCUCCUCAAUCUCGCCAAAGCCCACACACAAGUCUCUCUCCUCGACCGCACGUCGCGAGUCGGUGGAAGAGGCAGCCCCCACCUCCAUGAGCACCGCACUGCCGGGCUCGUGGUCGGCGACCGUGACCGCGAUCGCCGCGCACGACAGCGUCACCCUCGUUGCCAUGGGCGCGUCCCUGCUCUCCCUCGUCAAACUCAACCCACGCUCUGUUGCGCGUGUGUGGAAGGCAGCGGAGAGCAUCACGCAGCUCGUGCUGGUUGACUCCGUGGCGCUGGCCGUGUGUGCUCGCAGCGGCACCGUUCACGUGCUCACUAUCCACCCUAGCACCGGGCAGGUCGUGCGCCAGCGCGUCUACUACAGCUACAAAAACCGCGCCAUCCACCACACCAGCCUGCAUGUGGCGUCGCUCCUCAUGACGCUCGUUGACGUCUGCGGGUCAACGGAGCUUGUCCAGCUGCCAGCAGAUGUGCUGCUGCCGUGCGGCGUGCGACCGCUCCGUGGAGAAUACGCAAGCGGCGACGCAGCACACGUGAACCUGCUUGCCUCGAUGGCCGCUCUUCGGGCGAAGGUAUGCAUUGAGGUCAUCAAGGACGGCAGCGGCGGUGGUGCCAGUGGGAGUGUUACAGCUAACGAGGCGGAGGUGAUUGGAGGCUCCACCUCCAUGUACGAGGCGAACGCCGCAUUCGAUCAGCUCAAUGAACGGCUGCUGCUCGCGCGCUACGCGGUGCCGGAGGAGUGCGACGACUUCAUGGGCGCCAACGUGCACGUCUUCUGACGGUGGAGCGUAUGAGGCGUACUCGCGGAACCGGGGAGGCGAAGUGGACGCGUGCCCUGGCACGAAUGCAGCAUGGCCUCUGCGCUCACACAAAAGCACUGGCAUUUAGCUGUACCCUGUCCUCAUCCUCCUCCUUAUUACCCACUCCCGGCAAGUUGCCUCACCGCCGCCCAUCGUCCAGCCCGUCGCCGUGCCCGCGUCUUCCUUUACAAGCUUAUGCUGUUUGCCUUGCACUGCAGUGCACUGCACACAUAC